rnacentral:rRNA from 1 species
AUGGUUAGGAGUGUACCGAUUGGUGAGAAGCUCUUCAUAGGAGUGUACCGGGCACGCGCACACACGCAUGCAGCAACACACAUGCACGCGCACACACACGCAGCAACACACACGCACACAGCACACACACACAUACACACACACACAGCAGCAGCAUACACGCAGGCAGCACAUAGGCAGCACAUAGGCACGCAACAGCACACACACGCGCGCGCACGUACACACGCAGUAGCAAACACACACGCAGCAGCACACACGCACACACACAUGCAGCAGCAGCACACAUGUGCGCGUGCACCCACACACGCAACAGCACACACGCGCGCACAGACAUACCGCAUGAGGGGCAAAAUCAUCUUUUCAGGUGUCAUUUAG